GCACAAGCGGAGGAGCAUGUGGUUUAAUUCGAUGAUACGCGAGGAACCUUACCUGGGCUCGAACGUAAGAUGACUGUAGGUGAAAGCUUACAUCUCUUCGGAGCAUUUUACGAGGUGCUGCAUGGUUGUCGUCAGCUCGUGCCGUGAGGUGUCGGGUUAAGUCCCAUAACGAGCGCAACCCUACCUUUAGUUGCCAUCAGGUUAAGCUGGGGACUCUAAAGGAACUGCCUACGCAAGCAGUGAGGAAGGCGGGGAUGACGUCAAAUCAGCACGGCCCUUACGUCCAGGGCUACACACGUGCUACAAUGGCCGAUACAGAGGGCAGCUACCUGGUGACAGGAUGCAAAUCUCCAAAGUCGGUCUCAGUUCGGAUCGGAGUCUGCAACCCGACUCCGUGAAGUUGGAUUCGCUAGUAAUCGCGCAUCAGCCAUGGCGCGGUGAAUACGUUCCCGGGCCUU
rnacentral:rRNA from 1 species